rnacentral:rRNA from 1 species
CCCUUAGAUGUUCUGGGCCGCACGCGUGCUACACUGAACGGUUCAAUGGGUAGGGUAGUGCGAAAGCAUGACCUAAUCUCGAAAUCCGUUCGUGCUGGGGAUAGAAGCUUGCAAUUAUCCUUCUUGAACGAGGAAUACCUUGUAAGCGUGAGUCAUCAUCUCACGCUGAAUACGUCCCUGCCCUUUGUACACACCGCCCGUCGCUCCUACCGAUUGAGUGUUCCGGUGAGGCUUUGGGAGAAUGGCCUCAACAUGAGUUUAUCGUGUUUUGCCGUUUGAACUUAGUCAAACCUUAUCACUUAGAGGAAGGAGAAGUCGUAACA